GAUGAACGCUGGCGGCGUGCCUAAUACAUGCAAGUCGAGCGAACAGAUAAGGAGCUUGCUCCUUUGACGUUAGCGGCGGACGGGUGAGUAACACGUGGGUAACCUACCUAUAAGACUGGAAUAACUCCGGGAAACCGGGGCUAAUGCCGGAUAACAUUUAGAACCGCAUGGUUCUAAAGUGAAAGAUGGUUUUGCUAUUACUUAUAGAUGGACCCGCGCCGUAUUAGCUAGUUGGUAAGGUAACGGCUUACCAAGGCAACGAUACGUAGCCGACCUGAGAGGGUGAUCGGCCACACUGGAACUGGGACACGGUCCAGACUCCUACGGGAGGCAGCAGUAGGGAAUCUUCCGCAAUGGGCGAAAGCCUGACGGAGCAACGCCGCGUGAGUGAUGAAGGUCUUCGGAUCGUAAAACUCUGUUACUAGGGAAGAACAAAUGUGUAAGUAACUGUGCACGUCUUGACGGUACCUAAUCAGAAAGCCACGGCUAACUACGUG
rnacentral:rRNA from 1 species